GAGUGUGGACAGGACCUUUGCUUGUUUCUGAGCCACGGACUGCGUCAGAGGUGAGUGACCAUUCCUCCUGCCAUGCUGGUACGUCGUACAAGUUUCCACCUUGCUUGCCAACCCACUCUAGAAUCUCUCUGUGCUGCCUUGAGGGGCGCUUCCAAGCUGGAAGGUCUCCAUGGUGAGGAGAGGCUGCCUCUGGCCGUAGAAGCUAGGGAUUUCCACCUCCAGCCCCCAGAGGGAACGAAUUCUGCCAACAGCCCACGCGUGUUUGGGAGCAGAUUCUUCCCCACCCAGCCUCCAGAUGAGAAUGUAGCCCUGCUCGCACCUUGAUCGCAGCCUGGUGAUUCCCAACGUGGUAAGUGCUGCCUGGAUUCCUGGUGGACAGCAACCACAGGAAACACGCGUGUGUCACUCUCAGUUUUUUAAUUUGUGCCAACUUGUUACAUGGUAGUGGGAAAUACUGUCGGUAGCUUAUUUGUUUGAAUGAGGUUGAAAGCCAGUUAAUUUUCUGAACAGUUCGUGCCAGUUUGAAAGAGAAUAGCUUUGGAGAAAUGAAUUGGAAAGGAACUAGGAGGAAUGGGACUUUCUGAAGGGCCUGGUAGCAGCAGAUGCCAAAUCAUCCCAGGAUACGAGGAGCCGCUCUGUGAAAAAGGAGGGAGCUCAAAGAGAACUUGAGUUUCCAGGAGCUCCAGGCCUGGGCAAGGUGGAGCGGGACAGUGGGUGGGGAAGGCUGGGAGAGUGCAGACUGCAGGAGUUGCCCCGAUUGUACCCUUCUCCUAAACCGUGAACAAAUUCACAGAAGCUUCCUGGGAGUGCUUUGUGGGAUGUCAACCCUGGAAGAGGCCCAUCUGGGUGGAGCAGAGGCAGGAAGAGGCAGAGUCCGAGGCAGUGUCCUGGAGAACCAAACUCCCAUGCCCAUCUUCUCAGUCGGGCUGGCGGCAUUAGCUACCGUAGCAGUCUACCAAGAGCUGAGCGGCUGCAGUUGCAAACUUUCUGGUUCCGCAGCUCUGGAGGCUGCAAAUCUGAGGUCAAGGUGUCGGCAGGGUGGGCUCCUGCUGUAGUGUGGGAGCUGGAAUCUGGGCCAGGCCUCAGCCCGGCUCCUGGGGCUUUAUUGGCCCGUGGCUUUGGAAGCAUCGCCUGCAUCUCUGCCUUCAUUUUCCACAGUGCUCUUCCUGUGUGGGUGUCCGCCUUUGAAUUUCCCCUUCCGUUAAGGACACCGGUCAUAUUGGCUUAGACAGGGGCUGCUCCUCUGUGUGGCUGCAGCUUAGCUAUUACAUCUGCGUGAAUCCUAUUCCCAAAGGAGAUCACAUCCUCAGGUGUUGGAGGCUUGGACUUCAAUUUAUGAACUGGGGGUGGGAGAUACGUUUUAACCCAUAACAUGGGAGUUGGUAGCAAUCUCGGCUGGAACCAGAUUUGUACCAGCUGCGAGAUGGGAAUGUUCAAGAUAAUUUUGGCUUUAUUUGAAGAGGUUGGUAGGCCCUCAAAUGAUAUCACCGUAUGAAGAAACUUCCUAGGGUCUGCCUUAAAUUUCACAAGCAAACCAGUAUGCCUCGGCAGGUUGCUUUUCAAAGCUUUCUGCGAAAUGACCAAUAUGCAUCUCCCCAAGAUUAGUGUCUCCUGCUGUCUUGUGGGCUUGCAAAGCCGUUGUGUAACAGUGACUCGUGCCUCACCGUACAGUGCCAAGGGGAAAGACACGGGAACUUCACUCUCUGUAGCGGAGGAAAAAGUCUCACCAAAGAAGUCAGGACUGACAACACCAGCUUCCCCAGGGACAAAGAUGGGUGCUCUGACACUUCCCAGGUGCCACCGUCAGAUGCUGUGGCUCAAGGUUUCGUUCUCAGGGCUGAGAGCCUGUGGGUGUCCACCCACUCCUCUCCUAGCUGGACACUCGGCUACCAAGCCAACAGGUCUCGCUGCCUGCAAUCACCAGGCUCCGUGUCCUUUGCAAAGCCCUUUUAAGUCCUUUCCUUGACUCCCCUCUGUGACAGCGCAGGUUAGCAAGUGUCAUUUCAGUGGGACAGUGAGGCAGGGCUUGUUAAAUUAGCAGCGAUUUGAUUCUGAUCACAUAGAUGGAGAAGGAAGCAGUGUCUUUGGAGGUAGAAAGGGAAGCAGUGGAAAAUACGCCCACUCUCUUCUACAAAAAUAGCUGCCACACCGACUCAUUCCUUCUCCAUCUCUCUCUCUCCCUGUCUUCCACCUUCCCUCUCUCCCUUCCACUUAGCAUAUGUCAGACAAUGGAGUCACAGAAUGUUCACACUCUUUAAUUCCAGAGAGUGAAACUGAGCCUCAGAGAGGUAAAGCAACUCGUCCAAAGGUACACACACAGCCUUGGCAGCACCAAAGUUGAAUAUGUGGGCAUGUGAGAACUCACGUUGGUUUUUGCUAUCAAGAAGAGUUUUCAAACUUGUUCUCUGCUCACCACCUGCCUUCUCCCAGGUCACCAUGGAGGCUUCUCCCCGAACCCCUCGCAUUUGGCUCUGUGCUGCAGCAGGUGCCGCCACCACCCCGCCCACCUCAGAGCUGGCUCUCUCUGCCUGCCCAGGAACCCUGCCUAACGGAUGUGCGUGGAACGCCUUGCCACUCAAAACCGAAACAUGGAGCUUUCUCAGGCACAUUGGCCCAGUGUCACCAUAAACAGAGAAAAGACAGCCAAUCGUGAGCAGGUGAGUCAGAGAGACCCUGAAAUGGCAGGAAACAGGAGGGGAAACACUGCCAAGGACCCUGCAGGGGACCAAGGUCCCCUGGGGACCCAGUCCCACUGUGCCACCUGUCGCAACCCUACCGUGUCAACCCCGAGUUCUAGGGUGAGUUUGGGCCCAGAGCCUUCCCUCUGUCUGAGGAUUCAAGGGAAGGGGUGGCAGAACUGUGAUAAAAAAAUGAGGGCUCAUUGAAGUCGUGGCACCCGUGGAAAGACAGCUCAUGUUUCAAACCCAGACGAUGACACAAGAGGGGCUGAGAGUCCCGACACCUUGCGUGGCCGCCGCUUUGUUUUAACAAGUGUUCUCUUUCAGAACCAGAGGCUCUUGCUCAUCCCAGCUGGAAUCCGCCCGAGGCCGGCCACCAGCCACACCCUGUUCAGAAUGGCAGCCGGUUAGCAAGAACCUGCAGCCAGCCUGGCCAGGAACUCAGCGGGGUCUAAGUUUAACUCGGCACAGAGGGCAUUUCCUGCCUUGCAGAACCUUGGAGAUGAUCAAGCCUUUCCCUCUCACUUUGCUUCUUCAAGGGCCAGAGGCCAGAUCUAAGGGCUCCCUUGCAAAAGGUGGCCCGACAGCCAUAGGUUUCUUCUAACCACGGAUCAUCCACUACAGAAGACCUCAGAACAAAUCACCAGUCUUAGGAGUUCCUGGCUGUGAAGCUUAAUUGCCUGGGCAUCUGUAGUGUAGAAGAGGAAUAAACAGGAGCAGUGGCAGGAGAAAGUUCUCAUUCUGAAAUUCCACUUCUGUCAAUAGUAACUAUUAAUUAUUACAAGGGCUUGCUACAUGAGAUACUUUCUGUACAUUCUCUCAGUUUAUUCCCACAUGAACCUGUAAAGUAGGUGCUAAUGUGAACCCCAAUUUUUAAAUAAGAAAACUGAUUCAAGAACUCAUGGUAAUAUAGCUAGAAAGUAAUACAGCCAAAAUUCCUUUUUAAAAAAAUAAUUUUAGGGACCGCUGCCUGCAGUGCCAGCAUCCCAUAUGCAUGUGGCUUUAUCACGCAUGGGAUUUUAUUGCUAACGUGAUCACUAAUCUGGUUCUUCCAUAAACUUGUCACUGCUUUGGCUACUAACUAGCCACCUUAUUGACAGAACAAAGAGCAAUUAUUACAGUCAAAACAGUAUGAUUAAAGUCACUUGUGUUCAAAAUAGUAAAUCAAAAUGGUGGAGACAGGGUCUGGCCUGGAAAACGCACACAUGAAAUGUUUCAUUUGGGCCAGGCAUUCUGGCACAGCGGGUUAAGCCUCUGCUUGGGGACACCCAUAUCCCAUGUCGCAGUGCCUAGCAUUGAGUCCUGGCUCUGCUUCUGAUCCAGCUUCCUGCUAAUGCACAUUCCGGGAGGCAGCAGAAGAUGGCUCAAGUACUUGAGUGCCUGCCACCUGCAGAGCUCCUGGCAUUGGCCUGGCCCAUCCCUGGCUGAUGCAGGCAUUUGUGGGGGUGAUGGAAGCGUUCUCUCUCUCUCUCUCUCUCUCUCUCAUUCUCUAUGUCUCUGUCCUCAUUCUCUCUGUCUCUGUCUUUCAAAUAUGUUUUUAAAAUGGGUACAUAAACAUUUAAAAAUAAAAUGUUUCAUUCUCCUAACAGUCAACAGAUACUAAUAAUUUGUCUACUUUUUGCCCAGGCCUCUUUAAACACCGUGACCCAGCAGUUAACAAGACACAGCCUUGACUCUCACAGUCCAGCAGGAAGCUCUGAGUGUGCAAGGCCUAGAUCUGUUGUGGAGACUGCUGUGAACCCUCAGCCGUGUCUGGAAGGGAGAUGCUCCACGUAUAGCUGGUGAAUGAUGAAAUCACUGGACAGGACUGGGGUCAGGCUUGCAUCUUCCAGAGCAAUGACCCCGGUCCCACAGCCAUGAAGACACAGUCAGACAACCAAGGGAGCCUUGCCAGCGCCGGGUCCUGGAGACAAUGAGUCCACAGCAGUGACUGAGACAGAGUAGACAUGCAGGAGGCGUGGGUAAGGUGAGUCUGUUGGGGGAAUGAGGGGAUGGAGCUUCAGCUGUGGUGGAGACGUGGAGUCGAAUCCGGCUUCAAUGCACUGGAUGCUCAGGUGAGC